AACUUCUCUUUUACCUUCAUAUCUCACCACAAUCCGCCACCCACCGGAAAUCGCCAGCAGCGGCGGUUGACCUCCAAUCUCCACCAAUUUAACACCCCGGAAUCCCCUAUAUCCCCUCAUCCCAAAUCCCCAACCCGUUUCUCCCAAACCAUCACCAAUCUCCUCUAAUUUCAAAUCCAAAAUCGGAUCCCCAAAACCCUAACUCACCCAAACCCAAUUAACAUCCUACAGUCCCCAGGCUUUCCCAAACCCAAAGCCCUUAAUGAUUUUCCCAACAGAACUCUAGAAUUCUUUGAACUUGGAAUCUUGAAAUUUGAGUUUGGAAGUUUUGCUGAGGUUUUAUGCUCACCAGGGCCUGAAGCUUGCCUUGAUAGAACAUUCUCGAUUAAGGGCAUUCGUUAGAUUGAGUUUCAGGUUUUGAUGAAGUAUUUCAAGUGGCCAGUCGCUCAUCUCUAUUCGCCAUUUUCUUUGGUUAGUCAUUCACAUUUUUCUUUUGUUUUUAUUUGCUUGCUUCUGUCAUCGUCCUCUCCUGGUUUUCCUCCUUUUUUCUUUCUUUCUUGUUCAAAUCCAUGUCUGCUUGCAUGAAAGGCCAUAUUAGUUUAUAAUUGGUUAAUUUAGUAAUGUUUAGUUAGCAGUACUUAAUUUCAUUCGUCUCUUUGCCUUGUUCCUUUUCUCUUGAUUUUUCUUUUAAAAAAAAUAGAGAAAAGGUCUGGAACUCUUUAUGAGUUGUUGGAAGGUGGGCUUGCUAGUUUAGAAGCCCAAAGGCUGUUAGAGUCUGCUAAUGCAGUAGCCCAAAGACAUUUGGGCAAUUUGGUUCAAGGUCUGGUUGUUGAAUUAAUUAUUAAGCAUUUGAGGGCCAGUUUAGGGAAAUGGAUAAAUGAAAUCUUUUAUAACUGCCUAGGAAGCUGCUAGGAAAGUGAGGAAUGGGUUGGUUUUAACAAGCAGAUUCAAAAUACAGGUCUAAAGGAAAAAAACAAGAAUUGGGAAAGGGGCAAUUGAUAAAUGGUGAAAUCAUUUCUGCUGCCCUAAGGUUCUCUAUAUAAGGCUUGCCUUCAAUAAAAAUUGGUAGAGAUUAGAACACCUAGAGCUGGAAAUGGCUGAGAUAUACUUUAAAAAAAGAACACUCAAGUUUUCUGCAUUCUUUUGCUUUGAAAAUCGCUGGAAAUUGCUCUUUGAUUUCAUUGUUGGAAGAGUUUAAAACUUCAAAGAAUCUCUAUUUUGUCUGGGGGUUUUAAAAUGGUUUGAAAGAAGUUGAAUUUGCUGGGUUAAUGAGUUGAUUUACUACUAUAGCUGAAAUACUUACCUUCUAUUGUUUACUUUGAUUUCCAGGUAUUUCUUGGCUUUUUGGCUUUUAUGUGAUCUAUGAAGUGCCAACUUGCAAUAUGUAACCAAAUUGGAGGUUUGAGAAUGAAUUUCAAUUUUGUUGAACACUAAUCUACGUUCUUUAGAAUUUUUCCAUGUCUAUGUAUUAGUUUCAGCUCUUUCAUGUAUGUUCCCUUUAGUUAUGUUGAUAUUCUGGUACUGCAUCUUCAAAGUAUGGUUUAAGCUUUAGUUUGUUAUGAUGUUUUUUGAUUGAAUUGGAGGUCUAUGUAUUUGGACAUUUAGAGGCCUUGAAUGUGCUGUAGUGUAGGCUGUUGAGAUUUUGACUAAGGAAAGCUUUAAAUGUUGCAUUUUAAAUGUCUGUAAUCCUAGGCUAUGUUUUUAAUCCGAUUAAUUAUGCAAAGUGACUUGGGCUGCCAUGAAGUAACACUGUUGUUAGGUUUCGAAUGAGACUCAACAUAGGCCCAAAUCGAACAGCCCAGUCUCAAGCUGGGCCGUUCAGCUUUGGGUGUGGUUGUUUUGUUUUCCCUGUGCAAUUUUGUUUAAUGUGUUACCUGAGCCCUAGAUGUUCAUGUGGACAUUUGUUUCGAGCUCCUGCAACAGGUCUCACCACUGGGCCUUGUAGUUGACCCAGUUACGUCCAAAAUCCCUUUGCUGAUCCCGUCCAGUCUUGAGCCUCACCUUGAGCCCAAUUCCCCUUUAAUUGUUGUCUAUUGUUAUUUAUGUCUGGAAUUCGUCUCCUUCCCAAAUGUAGGCCAAUAUAGUGUUUGCGUAGGCUGCUCAUAGCAAUGUAUACAAAACUUAAUUUGGAUAAAAUUCAAAUCGCCUCUAACCCUUUAAUUAAGUAAUUCUUGUAAUUAGGAUGAGGUGUGCCAUUCAACUAUGUCACCUAUGACCCUCGUAAGAUUAGAAAUCACUUGAGGAAAUAGAUUUGAGGCGUGCCAUAAGCAAAUUAAAUCAUCUAUGACCCUCACAAACGGCUUAAUUUAGAUAUUGAAAAUGAAUUUCGUAGUUUGCUUUAGGCGUUGAUUAUAUAAUUAUCAUGUCUAUUAUUAAAAUCCGGGUGUAUAUUUCAUGUGACCCGGUUCUAAUUUCCAACAAAGUUAAAUAGAACGUGUCAUGAAUCACGGGCGCAUUUCAUGUAGCGUGGCUUGCGACAUGUUUUAAAUAGCUUUGAAAUAAUUCCUUAAAUAAAUAAAAGUGAUUUUAAAAUGCACAUAGGUUUAAAAGUAUUUUAAAAUCAAAUAAAUAGGUCAAUAAUAAUAGUUGAGCGGCCAUGCUAGAAACACGGAACCCGGAAAUGCCUAACACCUUUUCCCGAGUUAACAUAAUUCCUUACCCGGAUUUAUGUGCCUCGAUUCGGGAUUAUAAACUAGUGACUUGGGACACCAUAAAUUAUCCCAAGUGGCGACUCUGAAUUUGAAUAAAUAAUUCUGUUUCGAUUGUCAGUUAAAUUAAAAAAAAAACUUCCUUGUAUCCUUCCGGGGUAAUAAAAAGGAGGUGUGACAUGCCUUGGAUAAUCGUUUGAGGCCCUCAAAGCAAUCACCAAAUAUGGAGAUAACAAUAUGAGAAGAUCCGUUGAAUUUUCUUAGCAAUUUUUCCAUGUCUUCAAAAAAGUCUAAAAAGAGAUUCUUUUAGCUUACCAAAUCAACCCUUAAUUUAACCAAUUAGUUCCUUCUUGCUUCACAAAAAUUCCACAGGUUUAACAAGAUUCAAGGUAAUAAAAACAGGGACACCCCUGAGAUGUGGGAGUGAGGAACCAUCUCACCGUCUUGCUUAAAAUUAACAACAAUACGAGGUGCUGUUAGUAUUGAUACUAUUUAAGGUUAUGAAUUACCAUAGCUUAGGUACUCACUAUUCCUCCUACUACUAAAGUUCAUCCCGGAGCUAUCUGUUACUUAAGGAGAGGUUUCCGCCAAGAUAGUCUUUGCAUAAGCAACAAGAUUUUCAUACAACUUGUUCCAUGUUUUGUCGCAAUUAACGUAUGUUAGAGGAGUGUCAAGAGAAUCGACUCAGGUAUGUUAAGGCUAAUCCUUCCUUCUUUUUUGGAAUGACCCAAGUAACGAUACGUAAAUGUAAUGCUAUUCCAUAAGUGGUUCUACAAUUAGAAGUUGAGGAUAUCUACAUUAUUCAUUCUUGUAAAAUGACAUUCAAGCAUGUCUAAGUAUGUAUCUAGCUCCAUAUUGAGGUAUUUAAUAAAAAAUGUUAGUGUUCAGAAUGGUAUUAUAUGUAUCAUGCAUUUACCACCGAGCUACAGCCAGUUGGACAAUUAUACAUUUACCAUUGAGCUACGGCCGGUCGGGCAGUUACCACCACUUGGGCAGUUAUGUAUUAUUAUUUACCACUAGUUGGGUAGNNNNNNNNNNNNNNNNNNNNNNNNNNNNNNNNNNNNNNNNNNNNNNNNNNNNNNNNNNNNNNNNNNNNNNNNNNNNNNNNNNNNNNNNNNNNNNNNNNNNNNNNNNNNNNNNNNNNNNNNNNNNNNNNNNNNNNNNNNNNNNNNNNNNNNNNNNNNNNNNNNNNNNNNNNNNNNNNNNNNUAUAUAUAUAUGUAAUUAUAAUAAGUAUGCAUAUACGAUGACAUUUCAGAGAUUCAGGUUGAUUCUUAUAUGUCCUUAAUCAAUGUUGAACUAUGGUUAUGUUUCAGUUCUGCCUUACAUACUCAAUACAUUAUUCGUACUGACGUCCUUUUGUUGGGAACGUUGCAUUCAUGCCUGCAGGUAUAGAUAAUCAGUUUGACGAUACCUCAUAGUAGACGAGAUUGGCAUUUAGCGAUGAAUCAGUAAGACUCUACCUCAUUCGGAGUGCAGCCGAGUCUAUGAGUCAUCGUGCCAAAGUUUUGCUACAAACUUAUGGGUAAGCCUGUAUCCUAUCCCAUUUGAUGUCAAAUAAUCUUAGAGGCUUUAUAGAUAUUGGUUUAUUUUGUACAGUAUGUUAGAGGCCUUGACGGCCCAUAUGUAUUCAUGUUUUAAAUAGAAUGGUUCAGUGAUACAUUAUUGCCCACUUACAAUUGUACAUUACGAGUUGUGGCCAUGUUGGCCCCUGAUAGUUACAAAAGAAAUGAAUGAGUUAUAGAGUGGUUUACUCGGGCCAGUGUGGCACCGGGUACCAGCCACGCUUCCCAAGGUUGGGGUGUGACAAAGUGGUAUUAGAGCGAUUCGUGUCCUAGGGAGUCUACAAAGCCGUGCCUAGUAGAGUCUCACUUAUGGGUGUGUUACGCGCCACAUUUAUAAUUCAGAGGCUAUAGGGAAUUUAGGAAAUGUUACCCUUUUUUUGUUUCCAAAACGUGUCAUAGAGCUGAGUUGUAAGAAGUCAGUAUAAAGCUUUCGCCAGAUUUUGUAUGCAUCAGAGGUGCAGUUAUCACAAUAGAGCUUUAAGGCGUAAUGUGGAAGGGAGGUUAUAAAAGAAGCGGAAGAUACGAUGCGAGAUUGAAAGGUAAGUAAGUUAAAGGUGAAGAAGAUACGAGAAACUCAAGUACAAAAAGUUGUGAAUAGUCGAGUCUUUAGAAAUAGUUUGGGUUUUAGUUUAAUUUACAAAGGAGACCCUAGUGAAAAUUUUGUAAAUCUCUAAGAGUUAACAUUCGAGGAUGAAUGUUCUAAGGGAGGGGAGGAUGUUACACCCCAUAAAUUUAACAACCUUGAUACCGUUACAUAUAUAUUUGACAUGGUAUUUUGAGUGGAGCAUUUUUGUAAAGAAAAAAAAUGGUUUGAAAAAUAUGAUUUAUAUAGUUAUUAAUAUUACUACUUUCGAAUAUGCUUUAAAUUGUUCACAUAAUAUGAGAAAAGUUUAUGAGAUUUUCUUUAUCGUAAAUAUAUGAAUCAUUUUUUUUUCACAAGAAAAGAAGGUUAUUUUUUUUUUACCAUUUUAAGAAUUAAGCAUAUGAAAACUUGUAAUCUUUAUAUGAGAUUAGGAAAAUUAGAAGUUCCAGAAAAUAUGUGCAUUUUUACAUGGAUAUUUUAAUAAAAUAAUAAGUGUAUGUAUUUAUUUUGUAUGGUACCAUAUGACCAUAAUAAUAAAGUAUAUUAUAGUUGUAAUGACCUGGCCGGUCGUUUCAUGAGUUACCGCUCUAUUUUUUCUGUUUUUGCUUCUUAUUAUCUUGUUCAGCUGUAUUAUGUGUUAUCGGGUUAGUUGGCUCAGGUUCAGAGAGGUUUUGGUAAGGUUUGAGACACUUAGUCUCUUUUGAGUAAGCUUAAGUUGGAAAAGUCAACCGGAUGUUAUCUUAUGUGAAAAAGGGCUCGGAUGUGAAUUUUGAUGGUUUGGAUAGCUUCGGGAGGUGAUUUGGGACUUAGGAGCAUGAUCAGAAUGUGUUUUGGAGGUCCGGAGUAGAGUUAGGCUUGAAUUGGCGAAAUUGAAAUUUUGGCAUUUUCCGGUUCAUAGGUGAGAUUUUGAUAUAGGGGUCGGAAUGAAAUUUCGGAAGUUGCCAUAGGUUCGUUGUGUCAAAUGUGAUAUGUGUGCAAAAUUUCAGGUCAUUCGGACGAGGUUUGGUAGACUUUUUGAUCAAAAGCGGAAUUUAGAAGAUUUUGGAAUCUUAGGCUUGAAUUGAAUGUUAUUUCGUUGAUUCGAUGUUGUUUGAGGUAUUUUGAAGAUUAGUAUAAGUUUGGAUAGUGGUAUGUGACUUGUUUGUGCUUUUGGUUGAGGUCUAAAGGGCCUCGAGGUGAUUUCGGAUGGUUGACAGAAAGUUGGAGUUGGAGAGUUGCAGCUGAAGCUGUUGAAGUCUGUCAUAACCGUACCUGCGGCUUGGGGACCGCAGGUGCAGGCUUGCAGAAGCGCCCAGUGGGUCGCAGAUGCGGAAAUGGACAUGGGGAGCUGGAACCGCAAAAGCGACUGUUUGAGCGCACCUGCGAUAUCGCAGGUGCGGGUUUUUGAUCGCAGGAGCGGAAUUGGGAUUUUAAGUGAAAACCGCAAAUGCGGUGCUUUGGCCGAUAUGCGGUAGCACAAGUGCGGUAUUCCUGGGCCAGAAAGUAUAUAAAUCCUCCUUCACGAUUUUCAGACUUUCUUCACCAUUUUAAAUCGAUUUUGGAGCUUUUGGGGGGAUUUUGAAGAGGGAAUCAGAGGGAACUUCAUUGAGGUAAGAUUUUUGAACCUAAAACUCGAUCCUAAUGUGUUUUUUACCUAAUUAAACAUGGAAUUUGUGGAAUCUAAAGCCUAAAAUUGGAAGUUAGGGCUUGGAAAUUGGAGACCUAAAUCUAGGGAUUUGAGGGGUCAUUUGUGGUCGGAUUUUGAUGUAUUUGAUAUGUAUGAACUUGUGAGAGUGUAAGAAUUCUAGUGUUGUGAUUUUAUUGGAAUCCGAGACGCGGGCCCGGGGGUCGGGUUUGGCCAACUUUGAGAUUUUUGAUGUAAAUUGGUUAUUUUUUAGUGGGCUUUAUUCCCUUAGUAUAUUUUGAUGGUAUAAAUCUAUUUUUGGAUAGAUUUGGAGCAUCCGGAGGCCGAUUCGAAAGCAAAGGCAUCGCGGGCUAGAAUUUGGACCGGAUAGAGGUAAGUAAUGAUUAUAAAUGCUAUCCUGAGGGUAUGAAACCCCAGAUUUCACAUCGUUGUGCUACUUUGUUGACGCACACGCUAGAUGACGAGAGUGGGGCUGUGCUCCAUUGGGGAUUGUGACUUAGUCCGUCCCGUAUGACUAUUAAACUGUGUAUUUGACUGAAAAUUGUUUGCUAUCAUCAUGUUUUAAGCUUAAUGCCAUUGGGCCUCGUGCCAACUGUUUGGACCCUUAGGGGAUUUUACUACUAUUCGUCACUAUUUUGAAUUUAUAUUUGUACUCAGUCAUGCUGUAUUCUACUAUUUUCAUGACUCAACCAUAUUUACUCUGUUUUGACAUCUUAAAAGAUAUUUUGGGCUGAGCAUCAUACUUUACUGUGCCCGAGUGGCUUUGAGAGAUUUCUGACUGAGUGAGGUCGAGGGCCUAUUUGAUUAUGCCACGAGAUGGCUUGUUAUUGAACUUGUGCCGUAAGGGGCCCCUCCCGGGGUCUGUACACCCCCAGUGAGCGCGGGUACCCAGUGUGAGAUAUGCUAUUGCCUGAGGGGCUAAUGUUGUUCCAUGUUAUUGCCCGAGGGGCUGAUACGAGUGAUUGUGAGAUAGCCCGAGGGGCUGAUUCUGUUGGUAUUUUGCCCGAGGGACUGAUUUAUGUAUCUAUCUUUUCUCCCUAUUUUCAUUUACUCGUUUAAACUGCUAAAAGAUGUUUUAAAGAGGUUUUUAGUAAACUAAGGUGUUUCUACAUGCUUUUUACUGGUUUAUGUCAUUUUCUGGUUUUAUACUGUCUCGUUAUAGCAUUUUGUUAUGUUUUACGUGUUUUUUUAUCGCUCAACUGCCUUUACUUUUAUUACUUACUGAGUUGGCAUACUUACAUUACUCCCUGCACCCUGUGUGCAGAUUCAAGAGUCUCGGGCCACGCUAGCAAGGGCUGGUUUGCUUCUAUUGCAGGCUUAUUCAGAGUUGACUAGGUAGCUGCUCGGCGUUCGUAGCCCAGUGCUUCUCUUUCCUAUCUUUACUUUCCUUGUACUAGAUUUGUACUAGACUGUGUAGUCUUUUCAUACCCUUAAACGGAUGUUUAGAUGCUCAUGACUGGUGACACUCCGGUGUCAGGCUGUGUUGUUUUCGCAAUUGUUCUAUUUCACUCUUUAUUUU
rnacentral:lncRNA from 1 species